rnacentral:other from 1 species
GAGCACCUGCCGUGUUUGUGAUGGCGCAAUGCGUUUGAGCCAACACCCAAAUUUUGGGCAUUCAGUUUGGCUGGAAAGGUGAUAGGCGUUUAGCCAAGACCGGGCCAGUCAUUAGAUGACCCACCUGCGAAAGCAGGUUCAAAAACAUCGCGGCACACGGCAUGGCGGGGCCUUU